UAAUUUUUAAUAAUCUUAUUUUUAACAAUCACUUCAAAGUUUUAUUUUUA
rnacentral:tRNA from 1 species